rnacentral:rRNA from 1 species
AGGUGAAAAGCACUUCGAACAGAAGAGUGAAAUAGUCCCUGAACCCAUACGCCUACAAGCUGUCGGAGCCGCUUCGUGCGGUGACGGCGUGCCUUUUGCAUAAUGAGCCUACGAGUUACUCAUCACCAGCGAGGUUAAGUACUUCAGGUACGUAAGCCGAAGCGAAAGCGAGUCUGAAUAGGGCGUCAAGUUGGUGGUGGUAGACGCGAAACCUUAGUGAUCUACCCAUGGGCAGGGUGAAGGUUUGGUAACACAAACUGGAGGCCCGAACCGGUAAACGUUGAAAAGUUUUCGGAUGACCUGUGGGUAGGGGUGAAAGGCCAAUCAAACUGGGAAAUAGCUCGUACUCUCCGAAAUGCAUUUAGGUGCAGCCUCUGUUGUUUUGUUCUAGAGGUAGAGCUACUGAUUGGAUGCGAGGGCUUCACCGCCUAUCAAAUCCGGCCAAACUCCGAAUGCUAGAACAUGAAGACAGGGAGUGAGCCAGCGGGUGCUAAGGUCCGUUGACGAAAGAGGGAGAACUCAGACCAUCAGCUAAGGUCCCCAAUUGUAUGCUAAGUUGGAAUUAAAACGGGGUGGGACUGCUUAGACAGCUAGGAUGUUGGCUUGGAAGCAGCCAUUCAUUUAAAGAGUGCGUAACAGCUCACUAGUCGAGCGGUCCUGCAUGGAUAAUACGCGGGCAUAAGCAUAUAACCGAAGCUAUGGGAUUGUAGAUGAUACAAUCGGUAGGAGAGCAUUCCAUUCAGCAUAGAAGCAGUACCGUGAGGUAUUGUGGAGCGGAUGGAAAAGCAAAUGUAGGCAUAAGUAACGAUAAUGCGGGUGAGAACCCCGCACGCCGAAAGAUCAAGGAUUCCCCGGCAAUGUCAAUCAUCCGGGGGUAAGUCGGAUCCUAAGGGUAAGCCGAGUGGCGAUCCCGAUGGCAAACAGGUUAAUAUUCCUGUACUGAUCAUAACUGCGAUGCAGCGACGCAGAGGUGACACUGCUGCGUACUGACGGAAUAGUACGUUGAAACCCGUAUUCUUUGAUACCGGUAGUGAAGCACGCCGGUAGAGAUGAAAGGUGAUAGUACCGCAAUGCUUCGGUUGCGCGGAUAAUGCAGGUAAGCUGACUGCCAAGAAAACCUGCUAAGCUUCAGGUAAUGAUCAUCCGUACUGUAAACGGACACACGUGAUCAGGUAGAAAAUACUAAGGCGCUCGAGAGAUUCAUGGUUAAGGAACUAGGCAAAAUGGUCCUGUAACUUCGGGAUAAAGGACGCUCUUUUACAAGAGCCGCAGAUAAUAGGCCCAGGCGACUGUUUACCAAAAACACAUGGCUAUGCUAAUUCGCAAGAAGAUGUAUAUGGCCUGACACCUGCCCGGUGCCGGAAGGUUAAGAGGAGAGCUCAGAUGUAAGUCGAAGGUUUGAAUUGAAGCCCCGGUAAACGGCGGCCGUAACUAUAACGGUCCUAAGGUAGCGAAAUUCCUUGUCGGGUAAGUUCCGACCUGCACGAAUGGUGUAACGAUCUGGGUACUGUCUCAACCAUGAGCUCGGUGAAAUUGUAGUUCCGGUGAAGAUGCCGGAUACCCGCAACGGGACGGAAAGACCCCGUGAACCUUUACUGCAGCUUUGCAUUGAUUUUGGGUAACAGAUGUGUAGGAUAGGUCGGAGGCUUUGAUGCUGCGUCGUCAGGCGUAGAGUAGCCGUCGUUGAAAUACGACCCUUUUGUUAUCUGAGGUCUAAUCCCGUUAGGGAGACAUUGCAUGGUGGGUAGUUUGACUGGGGUGGUCGCCUCCAAAAGUGUAACGGAGGCUUCUCAAGGUACCCUCAAGGCGUUUGGUAAUCGUCUGCAGAGUGCAAUGGCAUAAGGGUGCUUGACUGUGAGACCGACACGUCGAUCAGGUUGGAAACAAGAGCAUAGUGAUCCGGUGGUUCCGCAUGGAAGGGCCAUCGCU